rnacentral:rRNA from 1 species
UACGUAGGGUGCGAGCGUUAAUCGGAAUUACUGGGCGUAAAGCGUGCGCAGGCGGUGAUGUAAGACAGAUGUGAAAUCCCCGGGCUCAACCUGGGAACUGCAUUUGUGACUGCAUCGCUGGAGUGCGGCAGAGGGGGAUGGAAUACCGCGUGUAGCAGUGAAAUGCGUAGAUAUGCGGAGGAACACCGAUGGCGAAGGCAAUCCCCUGGGCCUGCACUGACGCUCAUGCACGAAAGCGUGGGGAGCAAACAGG